AAGAGAGGGCGGGGGGAAGGAAGAGGAGGCGGGAUCCGGGCGCUGCGUUGGCUGCGGCCUGGCACCAAAGGGGCGGCCCCGGCGGAGAGCGGACCCAGUGGCCUCGGCGAUUAUGGACCCGGCCGAGGCGGUGCUGCAAGAGAAGGCACUCAAGUUUAUGUGCUCUAUGCCCAGGUCUCUGUGGCUGGGCUGCUCCAGCCUGGCGGACAGCAUGCCUUCGCUGCGAUGCCUGUAUAACCCAGGGACUGGCGCACUCACAGCUUUCCAGCUUACUUUCUUUCACAGAAUUCCUCAGAGAGAGAAGACUGUAAUAAUGGCGAACCCCCUAGGAAGAUAAUACCAGAGAAGAAUUCACUUAGACAGACAUACAACAGCUGUGCCAGACUCUGCUUAAACCAAGAAACAGUAUGUUUAGGAAGCACUGCUAUGAAGACUGAGAAUUGUGUGGCCAAAACAAAACUUGCCAAUGGCACUUCCAGUAUGAUUGUGCCCAAGCAACGGAAACUCUCAGCAAGCUAUGAAAAGGA
rnacentral:sRNA from 1 species